rnacentral:rRNA from 1 species
AGAGUUUGAUCCUGGCUCAGGAUGAACGCUAGCUACAGGCUUAACACAUGCAAGUCGAGCGGUUUGUGCUUUUGCACAUACAGCGGCAGACGGGUGAGUAACACGUAUCUAACCUUCCCCUUACUUGGGCAUAGCCUCUGGAAACGGAGAUUAAUUUCCGAUGUGGUGUACAUUUCGCAUGUUUUGCGCACCAAAGAUUUAUCGGUAAGGGAUGGGGAUGCGCUCCAUUAGGUUGUAGGUAGGGUAAUGGCCUACCUAGCCUAUGAUGGAUAGGGGUUCUGAGAGGAAGGUCCCCCACAUUGGAACUGCGACACGGUCCAAACUCCUACGGGAGGCAGCAGUGAGGAAUAUUGGUCAAUGGCCGGAAGGCUGAACCAGCCAAGUAGCGUGCAGGAUGACUGCCUUAUGGGUUGUAAACUGCUUUUUUACGGGAAUAAUUAUGAUCACGUGUGAUUAUUUGCAUGUACCGUAAGAAUAAGGAUCGGCUAACUCCGUGCCAGCAGCCGCGGUAAUACGGAGGAUCCUAGUGUUAUCCGGAUUUAUUGGGUUUAAAGGGAGCGUAGGCGGGAGGUCAAGUCAGCUGUGAAAUGUAUCUGCUUAACGGGUACACUGCAGUUGAAACUGGUUUUCUUGAGUGCGUAAGAGGCAGGCGGAAUUCGUUGUGUAGCGGUGAAAUGCUUAGAUAUGACGAGGAGCUCCUAUUGCGAAGGCAGCUUGCUGGGUCGUUACUGACGCUGAUGCUCGAAGGUGCGGGGAUCAAACAGGAUUAGAUACCCUGGUAGUCCGCACAGUAAACUAUGGAUACUCUCUGCCGGCGAUACAUUGUCGGUGGCCAAGCGAAAGCGUUAAGUAUCCCACCUGGGGAGUACGUUCGCAAGAAUGAAACUCAAAGGAAUUGACGG